AUGUGUUUAGUAAUCCUGCUCAGUACGAGAGGAACCGCAGAUUCAGACAUUUGGUGUAUGUGCUUGGCUGAGGAGCCAAUGGGGCGAAGCUACCAUCUGUGGGAUUAUGACUGAACGCCUCUUAAUCAGAAUCCCCCCUAAACGUGAUGAUACCGCAGUGCCAAGGAGCUUCGGUCAGCCUUGCAUACCCGUCGGGUGCUGGCAGGCUGAGCCGCUCGCCUCAGGACCGGAGCGCAGACAAAAGGGGGCUGCCUCUCUCCCCGGAGUGCACCGCACAUUUGUGGGGAACCUGGUGCUAAAUCAUUCGUAGACAACCUGAUUCUGGUUCAGGGUUUUGUGCAUAGCAGAGCAGAUACCUCACUGCAAUCUAUUGAAAGUCAUCCCUUCAGCCAAGCUUUU
rfam:Xenopus laevis strain J chromosome 8S, whole genome shotgun sequence.